UCAGAAAUGGCUCAAGUGGUAGAGUGCCUGCCUUCCAAGCACAAGGCUCUGAGUUCAAACCUCAUUACUGAC
rnacentral:tRNA from 1 species